UGAGGAAUUUUGCGCAAUGGGGGAAACCCUGACGCAGCAACGCCGCGUGAGUGAUGAAGGCUUUCGGGUCGUAAAGCUCUGUCAAGUGGGAAGAAUAUGCCUUGUGAUAAUACCAUGAGGCACUGACGGUACCACUGAAGGAAGCACCGGCUAACUCCGUGCCAGCAGCCGCGGUAAUACGGGGGGUGCAAGCGUUAUUCGGAAUCAUUGGGCGUAAAGGGCGCGUAGGCGGCCCCUUAAGUCAGAUGUGAAAGCCCUCAGCUUAACUGAGGAAGUGCAUUUGAAACUAAGGGGCUUGAGUAUGGGAGAGGGAAGCGGAAUUCCUGGUGUAGCGGUGAAAUGCGUAGAUAUCAGGAGGAACACCGGUGGCGAAGGCGGCUUCCUGGACCAAUACUGACGCUGAGGCGCGAAGGCGUGGGGAGCAAACAGG
rnacentral:rRNA from 1 species